AUGACCUAUUUGUUCUUUCCCUUAGGUACAAUGGCCACAGUAGCCCAGAAGCACUUUUUGGAAGGACAGCCAUACUCAGUGCCCCUGAUCCAGCCAGACCUGCGCAGGGAGGAGGCUGUGCAGCAGGUGGCAGAUGCACUUCAGUAUCUGCAAAAGGUGUCAGGAGAUAUCUUCAACAGGAUCUCUCAGCGGGUGGAGGCCAGCCGGGCACAGCUCCGGGCGAUUGGGGAGAGAGUCACCCUCGCCCAGGCCAAGAUUGAGAAGAUAAAGGGCAGCAAGAAGGCUAUUAAGGUAUUUUCCAGUGCCAAGUAUCCAGCCCCUGAACGGCUGCAGGAGUACAGUUCAAUUUUUGCUGGUGCAGAAGACCCAGCUAAACAGAAAUGGCCAAGACACAAGAUUCAGAGCAAACACCAAAUGCUGGAUGAAAAAGCUCUGCAGGAAAAGCUCAAGUAUUUCCCUGUGUGCGUGAGCACCAAAAUUCACCAGGAGGAUGAUGCAGAAGAAGGCCUUGGCAGCCUUCCCAGGAACAUCAGCUCCCUCAGCUCCCUGCUACUCUUCAAUACCACCGAGAACCUGUACAAGAAGUAUGUGUUCCUGGAUCCCCUGGCUGGAGCAGUGACCAAGACCCAUGUGGCUCUAGAAACAGAGACAGAAGAGAAGCUCUUUGAUGCACCUCUCUCCAUCACCAAAAGGGGACAGCUAGACCGACAGGUUGCUGAAAAUUACUUCUAUGUGCCGGAUCUGGGCCAGGUCCCUGAGAUUGAUGUGCCCUCCUACCUGCCAGACCUGCCUGGCAUUGCUGCAGACCUCAUGUACAGCGCUGACCUGGGCCCUGGCAUUGCACCCUCUGCCCCCAGCAGUGCAAUUCCAGAGCUGCCCACUUUCAACACUGAGUCGGUGGAGCCUUUGCAACCAGAUCUUCAAGAUGCUAAACUAUUGCCACCUCCUCCCCCUCCACCUCCCCCACCGCCUCCUGUUGUGCCAACUCCGGUGCCUCCUCCACCGCCCCUGCCCCAGCCCACGGCACCCUUGGAACCAGCUCAGGCAGUGAGUGAGGAGAGCAGCAGCACAGUGCCUGCAGCUUCAGUCCAAGGAGCCCCAAAGGAGGUGGUGAACCCCUCCACUGGGCGUGCCAGUCUCCUGGAGUCCAUCCGCCAGGCCGGGGGCAUUGGGAAGGCCAACCUUCGCAGUGUCAAGGAGAGGAAGCUGGAGAAAAAGAAGCAGAAGGAACAAGAACAAGUGAGAGCUACGGGACAAGGUGGAGAUUUGAUGUCAGACCUGUUCAACAAGCUGGUGCUGAGGCGCAAAGGUAUUUCAGGGAAAGGCCCAGGAGCCUCUGGGAACACAGAUGCUCCUGGCAGUCCUGCUGGUGCCUUUGCUCGCAUGUCGGACUCAAUACCACCCCUCCCACCCCCACAGCAGCCCGUGGGUGAGGAGGAUGAGGAUGACUGGGAGUCAUAGAUGGGAUCCGUUGAGUAUUAGUGUGAAACUGUUGCUGCCUGAAAAAUUUCCAUGAAGUUGAAGGAAGCAGGUCCUUACUGUCUUCACUUUGAACUCUUAAUGCAGUAACUUUCCACUGGGGAAAAGCAAGAAAGACCCUGCAGCCAUGGGGCAAGCCAAGGCAUCCACAGACCUUGCCUGUGCUGAGCUGUUUUUCCCCAAGAUCCUCACCUGUAUCGCUCCAUGUACUGCGACAGCUGGGAGUGGGCACAGCACAGCUGCACAAACAGAAAGCAGAAGCUGUUGUUAUAAAGGAGAGAAGAAGGAGCACUGCUGGAAGCAAACCUCCCUCCCCUUUAGCAGGCCAGGCUGUGACUCACCUGAGAGCCGCUGACCUCGGCGCUAUGGAUGCAGGUGAUGGUGUCUAUGAGGUUGUGGGCCUCGUCAAUGAUCACAACCUGGUCCUUCAGCUUGAUCCCAGCUGCCUUCCUGGUAGGCUCAUGCAGAAGCAUCUGAUAGGGCAGCACCACCAGCUACAGGAGAGGCACACACUGCCCUGAUUCCAGCUCUCAUCCUUACAAACUCUGGGCAUUCUACAACCACUCAUUAACAGCCCUUAUCAAAGGGCCAUGCAGAAUUCAGCCAAGUGACUUACUCUUAUUAUGGGAAAAGUAAGAACAAAACCAGGAGCACAUGCUUGAGAGGGGCACUGGGAUGUCAGCUGAAAUGAUUAUGCUACAAUUGCAUAUGGGUUUAGGUUACCUUUUAAAUCUCCUUUGGGGCACUGAAACUCUUCAGGGAGAACUCAGCAAGGAAGAAGAGUGGUGUAAGAGCUAAGAGUUCACCUGUAUGUCAGUAUUGCUUCACACUUGCUGAACUGCUCAAGUAUUUCAAAAUGCUGAGACAUACAGCAUCCUUAUGAACUUCUGAUGGGAAUUCUCAUUUUCCUUUGCUUUCUGAGCAAAACUAGAGCUGACAGAAACACAGCCUGUUUACAGACUCCCCAGUCUAAGUGACAGUACUAGAAGGAGCAGGCCAUCAGUUCACUCAUAAGAGUGCCUGGCAUUAACGCCACUAAAACUUAAGCCUUACCUGAGCAGCAGGGAUAGCAAAUCGACUCCCAUAAUAUGGGCAGGCUUUGGUCUCCCUUCCCAAGGACACCAACUGCUCAAUAUCCUUCACUUCCACCAGAACUUCAUCACGGAGAAACUGCAUUUGCUCAAAGGAAUAAAAUGGGCACACGGUGCGACUCACACGUCUCUUCUUCCCCUCAUUCUCCUCAUUGCUCUUCUUUUCUAACAGCAGAAAUCAAAAGAAAGCUAUGAGCAACACACACAACAGCCUAAAAUAACCAUUUUGCAGAAACUCAUGGAUUUCAAAGCAAGCUUUGUCCUGUGUAUUCCUGACCUAUCACCUAUUUUUAAAUUAUUCAGCAGUAACAUUUCCAUUUCCAUAGUGGACACUACUCUUGCCAGUUAGAUUUAGCAUGUGACAUCUUCCAACAUUUCUAGCAUUGAGUUAAACACAAGUAUCCUUCUGUGCAGAAGUCCUGACCAGCUUGAGACACUCAGAAGAUUUAUCCUGAUCUCAGCAUAGCCUGGAGAUCAAGAAAAGCACCAAGGAUUCCUGUUCUUCCAACCUGUCAUUUUCAAGCUUCUACCACUCUUGCUAGAACUGACUGGCAGCACCCACUGUCUCCACCCUCUCAUGACACCUUUAUUAGGAAUUGCUUCCCCAGGCUGUGGGAGCAUGUGGUAUUUCUGGGGUCCCCCGUUGUGGGGAGGAAUGAUGAAUCUGACUCCAUGUUCUUAGAAGGCUAAUUUAUUAUUUUAUGUUACUAUAUUAUAUUAAAGAAUGGUAUACUAAACUAUACUAAACAAUAGAGAAUGGGUACUUACAAAAGGCUUAACAAGAUACUACUGAAAAAUUUGUGACUCUCUCCAGAGCCUCGACACA